rnacentral:rRNA from 1 species
UACAGAGGUCUCAAGCGUUGUUCGGAAUUACUGGGCGUAAAGGGCUCGUAGGCGGCCAACUAAGUCGGACGUGAAAUCCCCAGGCUCAACCUGGGAACUGCGUCCGAUACUGGAUGGCUUGAAUUCGGGAGAGGGAUGCAGAAUUCCAGGUGUAGCGGUGAAAUGCGUAGAUAUCUGGAGGAAUACCGGUGGCGAAGGCGGCAUCCUGGACCGACAUUGACGCUGAGGAAGCGAAAAGCUG